CGUGUGAAAGACAAGCAUGGAUGAAGGUCUUAAAGAUAUCUUUUGAAACUUGUCUUUUGGGAAGACAUGGUAAAUUGAGUUAGCUUUACAAUGGAGGUGGUUUCAAGUCGUUUGGAGCUGUAUUGAGGGAUUUAUGAUCAAAAUACUACACACAUAUCAGUGUGUGCAACAUGGAGAAAGUGGAGAAAACUUUAAUGAGUGAGUUUUAUCUCUUUAAAGCUUGCAACAUGGGGGAUGGGUUGUCUAUCAUGAGUUUGGUGGCUCUUUUGGCCUAACUUUCUCUACCUUUUCUGAAGAGGCAAGACUACUUUGGCCAUAUGAAGGGGCAAAAGGUGUUCUAUAAUGGAAGAAAGUGGAGAAUAACUUUUAUGAGUGUGUUUUAUGCUUUAUGCUUUCACAUGAUGGAUGUGUUGUCAUCCUCCUUUACUUAGGCUAUAAAAGAGACUGCAAGGGGAAGGAGGAAGACACAAUACACAGAGUACAAUACAACAAAGAGUAGAGAGUGAAAGUUUUAUAGUUUCAUAUUUUGUAUUUUGAGAGUUUGAGAGAAAACAUUUGUUCUUGGAGUGUUCUUGAAGUUUAUGUUAUAAAGUCUUGUUUUCCUUUAGCCAUUCUCUUCAUCUAAUUUCUGUUUCUUGUUUUCAUAUAUCAUAUCAUCUUGGUUAUGCUUCUAUCCAUCAUGGGAUUAAGUGUAAACAAGAUGAUUAGUGAGUAAUCACCCUUAGGAUCAAUGGGUUAGGUAGAUUAAUGGGUGAUUAGGGAAGAGUUAAGGUGUUCUAAUGGUUAAAUGCUUAGAUUUCUAUGCUUACUAAGUAUUCUUAAUGCUAGAUUAAUUUUGGCCAUUUUAAUCUAGAUUCUAAGUGUUUGUAGGGCAUCGAAAGUGUUUGCAUAAUGCUUGAAUGGACCUAGUAAAGCUCUAGCUUGAAUAACCAAGGAAUUGUUGUUAGGAUUGCUAGAUGGUUAGUAGACUAGAACUUAAUGUAUGUUUGAGUGAACAAAACGAACGGAAGUUGAUGUUUAGUUCAUAAUUGCAUAAGGGUUUCUACCACGGGAGUGGAUUAAUCUAAAUUGAAUGAAAUCUAGACCUAUAGAAAGUUAAGAUUAUUUGAAGUUAGACGCCUUGAUUUA